rnacentral:rRNA from 1 species
UACGAAGGGGGGCUAGCGUUGCUCGGAAUCACUGGGCGUAAAGGGGUGCGUAGGCGGGUCUUUAAGUCAGGGGUGAAAUCCUGGAGCUCAACUCCAGAACUGCCUUUGAUACUGAAGAUCUUGAGUUCGGGAGAGGUGAGUGGAACUGCGAGUGUAGAGGUGAAAUUCGUAGAUAUUCGCAAGAACACCAGUGGCGAAGGCGGCUCACUGGCCCGAUACUGACGCUGAGGCACGAAAGCGUGGGGAGCAAACAGGGAUAGAAACCCUU